AUCCCUAUUUAUUCUUAUAAAAAAUGAUUAAUAAAAACACUUCAAUCUCAAUUUUUUCCAACUAGAAAACUAAAAGUACUAAAAAGGAAACGCCAAAUAACUUAUAGUAGUGAAUAGCUCACCUACCUUGUGCAUUAUGGUUUUACAAGCACAAAAAUUAAAAAUUCUCUCCCGAAUUCUAUGCGAGCUGCUCCCUUAUAGCUAAGAGCCCACUACUAGUUGUAGCACUAACUUUAGAAAAUAGGGUAGCAGGGGCUACAUACCAAACGCGCUAGAAAAUUGCUGGUUAUUAGUAAAAUUUAUACAUUAAAACAUAUAAUUCUAUUAUAUUGUAAGAUUUUAGAGGAUAAGCCCUAAGAUCUUAAGCCAAAUAAUAACCACAAAGAAACUUAUAGGCCUAAAAACAGCCAUUAUUAAUACCUUACCGUAAACACCCACAUAAUAUAUAAGCAACCUGCCCCAAAAAAACUAAUAUUUAAGAAAAACAGCAAUCUUAAUAUAAUAUGUAAAAAUAAGUAUUUUUCACCAACUAACCCAACUCUAAUUAAAUA
rnacentral:rRNA from 1 species